AUUCAUCCGAGGGUGCUGCCUCCUCAACCUUUGCCUCCUGCGCCGCUCUCCUUCCCCCGGCCGCCGCCGCCAGCAGUGCAGUCCCUCCGGCACGCAUGCUCUGGUUCACCAAGAGGGAGACUGAUUUUUUUUAAAUCAUGCUCAUCAUCAUCAUCAUCAUCAUCAUCAUCAUCAUCACGUUCCUUAUCAUGGUUAUCAUUUCCUCCUGCCAGGUGGAGCGACCACCAGCGCCGGCUCGCCUCCUGCGCCUUCCCCAGCGAAGGCAGCAAGCAGUUCGGGCUUGGCCGUGGCGGCCGCUCCCAGGAUGCUUCCUGCACCUCCAGCAUCCCCCCCCUUAUUCAUCUGCCUGUGUAUUAUCUCGAUCCUUUUCAUUUCAGUAGAUCCACUGCCUUUGGUUGGGCCGGCUGAAUCGCUGGGGACUGCGGCCAGUCUCUUAAAAAAGGAGAACAAAAAGCCGAAGACCUUGUGUGGCCGCCGGGACAAAGCACCUUGGGUUCGGCGAGAAGGGACGCGCAGGAGCGCUGAACCCAGAACACGCGUGGCCGCUGCGGAAGGGCGUCCGCCCGGCGUGCGGAACGCUGAGGGUAUUCGGAUUGUCUUUUAUUUGUCCCUGUGGCUUGCUUUCACAGUGUCUACGUAGGAGAGGGGUCGGGGUUGUUGGGGUCUCUUUUUUUUUCUGGGAGGGGUAGCUGAAUUGUGGGAGACCUAGGUGGACUUGACUUGGCUUUCCUGCUACUCUGCGUCUCCUUCUCAAGAUGCGGGGGUUGGAAAGGGGACAGGGGACUCAAGGCUUAGAAAAGAGAAGGAGCCCUCUGCUGCCUGGAGGGCUAAGGGAGUAGAGAGUGGAGAUGGAGGUGAGUAGGGAUGGGCCAGCCCGAAGAGCACUGAGGAGGAGAAGGGGUCUUCUCCUCCCUCGGGUCCAGUGGAUGAGUUUUGCUGGGAAUGAGAAUUCGGGUGUCUGUCGAUAGGAGCGCUGAGAAAUUGAUGAGAAAUUGACAUGUCCGUGCACAUGCAUGAGGCGGCGACAGGAUUUGUGUGUAAACAGUGUGGAGAGGUGGAGGAGGGCAUGGGGGUGGGGGCUUAAAAUGAUGUCUUAUUGUCCUUUUGGCUUUAGGGACUCUCAUCCUCUGUCUCGCCCCCUUUUUUUGACCCGGGGAUCCAGCCGCAUUAUACACGAGUGACCUUUUAAAUCUACGUCCACCCUUUACCUGCGAGAGGACUGCAGCAGGCGAGUUCCGGAAGGCUGAAUCCCCAGGUCCCAGCCCCGGACCGCGGCAACUCGCCCCUGCGGCACGCCCGGCCCGGCUGCGCCCCCACUCAGCGAUGGAGGAAAAAGCCUGGAUGCGAAAGGAUGGGGGAGAACAAAGAGCCUUUGGAAGACGUCGCUGUUAUCUCAUUGUCUGUGUGAUUGGGGGAGCUGCGGCGGGGAGGAUGCUGUGGUCCCUUCCUCCGGCGUUCCCCACCCCCAUCCCUCUCCCCGCUGUCAGUGCGCACGCACACGCGCCGCUUUUUAUUUCUUUUUCCUGGUUUUCUUAUUCCAUCUUCUACCCACCCCUCUUCCUUUCUUUCACCUUUCCUUCCUUCCUUCCUCCUUUCCUUCCUCAGGAGAAAGGCCUCUCUCUCCGUGUUCACAGCGGACCUUGAUUUAAAUGUCCAUACAAUUAAGGCACGCGGUGAAUGCCAAGAAUGGGGCUGGCUGAGCACCGUGGGUCGGCGAGGGCCCGCCAAGGAAGGAGCGACCGACCGAGCCAGGCGCCCUCCGCAGACCUCCGCGCAGCGGCCGCGGGCGCGAGGGGAGGGGUCUGGAGCUCCCUCCGGCUGCCUGUCCCGCACCGGAGCCCGUGGGGUGGGGAGGUGUGCAGCCUGUGACAGACAGGGGCUUAGAGAUGCAAACAGACUCAGGGAGAGAAACAGAAGCUGAUUCUGUGACAGAAGCAGAUCUGUGCAGCACAGAUGCGGUGUGCGUGGGGAGGGGGUCGCCUGGGAGCGCAUUGCGGAGUGCUUGUGUGUGCAGAUUUUUCUCUGGGCUCAGGACUCAUUGUAUGUGGGUCAACACCUUCCUCCGUGACUGUGUUUUUGUUCUGAGCUGAGUUUUUUGGUUUGCCCUUAAAAAAAUAAUAAUUUGGCAUCCAGAGACUGGCAGACUGCCUCAGGGCCUGGACUGCGGAUAUAUUGUGUUCUGCUUGAGGUUUGGGGAGGAGGGCAGGCGGUAGGAAGGGAGAGGGGGAGCUGUUUGUCACACUUUGCUGUAGAGCUGAGAGCACCUGACAAGCUUAAGGAAGUCGUUGGGCUAUGUGGACAAGAAGGAGCCAGCUCCCAGCGGGUUCACAAGCUCUAUCGGAGUUGAAAGCGUGGUCAUGGCUCUAAGGAGCACCUCACGCCCUCCCUGUAGCUGUUAUUGCAGUUUCAGGCAGAGAUCCAGGAGCUGCAGAGGAAGGGAGAGGCACAAUAACCUACAUGGACCCAAGGGAGACAUGUGUUCCUUUAAAAAUGUGAACAGAAGGAAAAACAGAAUGUGUGCAACUGGGGGUCUGAGGAAAGACUGUUUUGAAAGAGGCUGUCAGGGAAUGGAAAGGGUUAAGCUUUUCAUCCUGAAGAACCUGCUUCCCAAAUCAGGCCUUCCUCCCAUCACUAGACCCUGAGCAGCAGCUGGUCCUAGAGACCCCCCUCGUACUGCGCUGCCACAGUCUCAUCCCAUUUCCAGCUCUGUAUUAACCACCAAGCUGCAGCGGAUGGGGCAAGACCUAAGCUCAUUAAUUUCCAGGUGGAGGAAAUGGAGGAGGGGCAGGUCCCUGCAGUAGAGGGAGGAGCAGAGAAAGGAGGCCAAGAGCUGGAUCCUUCUGCCCAGGAAGCCUGCUGCAUCCCUUCCCCCGAGCAUGGCAGAGGCCUGGCUUUGCAAGGCCAAGGCCAUAAGGGAUGCUUAGGAGAUUAAUUUGAUUCCUGACACAAUAAUCAAGCCCUAAGAGUCUCCACUGAAGCUUACUGAGGACUUCUUUCCUCUCCAAAGCCUCAGUCUAGCCUGCUAAAUAAAUUAGUAUUCAGUGAUGCCUUGGAUCAGGGCCCCUCCCCGGCCUCAGUUUCCCCAAAUAUUUAUUAAGUACCUACUGUGUGCAAUCCUUGUGUAAUUAUUAACUCUUAGGCUCUUCAUUUGCCCUCCUAAAGCAGUGUUUAGAGUCAGGCAGAGGUUAAGUGUGUUGCACCUCACCUAGAUACUUCCAGAACCUUCUCUGGGUCUGCAGAAUGUGGCACAACCUGCUUGCCCCCGCAGAGAGAAAGCUGCAGUGCACAUCCUGCAGACUGCAGGUGCUGGGCUGCCUCUGGAGUCCCAGAAGGCAAGCUUGGCUGCAGGACAGAAAGGGAGAACAGCUUCUCUCACCCCUGAGCCUUCACAAGCCCUUGUCUAUUUGCCGUUGCCUUCAAAAUAUACCUCCCCCGAAACCAGUAGCUUUCUGAGUCCUGGUGUCCCCUCCGCCCUUUCUGGACAGGUUUGGGAAGAAGAAAGCAGUCAGUGCUGGGCCUUAUUGGGGUGUGAAGCGCCUUGCUCUGCCCCUUCUGCUCACUGUGAAGGCCGCUGGAUGCUUCUCUUAGGCAUGGUUUAAGCCUCCGAUUACUAAACCCCUUGCCCCACAAACGUCCACAUUGACGAGCCUCUUUUUAGUAACUGCUUCCCCGUAAUUCCUUCAGAGGUUGCUGUACCCUUCGCUGAUGUGCUGCCCUCCUGUAAAACCUCCAGAUGCCUUCCCACGUAAUGCCCCUUUCAGAUGCUUUAAGCUGAGAGCUUAAACCACAGGUACCAUGGCUGACGCCUGCCAGGUUUCUGCUGCAGAUAAUCUAUGAUGGGAGGGGCAUAUUUUUUACUUCAUUACUUAUGUAAACUCUUGUUCCAGAAAGCUUUAAUGUGUGUGGGAGUGUUCUGGGUCUAUUAGGUCUGUGCGCAUGGGUGUGGGCAUUUGCCUGUGUCCACCGGGUGGGUCUCAUUAUGAAAUGUAUGUUUAUGUAGGGCUUUAAUGGCUGAAAAUGGCAAAGAGAUGAAUAGACCACUUGGCCCCAUGUGUAAUUGCCAGGCCCCUUCUGUGCUCAAAUGAGGUGUCCGAGUGAAGGUCAGCCCUUCCCUUCUGUAUUUGGGGCCUAUUUAUGCCACCAGUAAUUUUAUAAGAAAUCUGAAUAGUUCUCCCCUUUGAGUGCAUUUAACUCUUUAGUAUCUUCUCUCUUACCUAUUUGAGCCCCUCUAGCUACAGUCUGGCUUAAAUGAAAGGGGAAUUAUAUGCUUAAGAAAAAGUAGGACACGGUUGAGGCAGUUUGCUGACUGAAUACGCGAAGAAGGACCUGAUGGGCUCAUAUGCACCACUGCCAUCACAGUCCCCAUCGUGAUGCAAGCUUAUAUGAUUCUUGAGAAACAGCCCAGAUCUCCUCUUAAGCGGAAAAGAGAUUGACCUUCUAGCAGAGGCAAAGGGCCCACGAGUCAACAUGAGGAGUUGUGCUGGUGGUAUGUGUGUUGGAGGCUGGGCUGGCUGAUUCACAGUGACGAGGAUGUCAAUAAUAACAAGAAUGAGAAUGAUGGUACCUAAUAAAGACUUUUUUUCCCAAGUCCCAUCUACAAUUCUUUCAUUGGGUGUUUUGCCAAGUCUUUCUCAAUCUCAUCUCAGCUUUUUUUUUUUUUUUAAAGAAAAUGUAUUCAAUACUUAAUUGCAUCACAAAUGUAGACAUAGAAGAAAGGACUUCAAACGGAAUUUAUGGGAGGCAAUGUGUGCGGCUUUUUGCCUUAUAGAGCUGUGUAGAAGGUCUGGAAUGAUCUUCCAGCACCAAAUUUAGAUGGCCUCAAAAAAAAAAAAAAAAAAAAAAAAAUCAGGCCUUAUUGAGGGCAAGGAAUGUUCCAGGUCAGAAAUAAAAGUGUCAGCAACUCUCAAUAGGUUCAUCUUUUUAUUUCCUGUCCUUCUCCCUUUUGUCUUAAAAUAGAAACGCUACCAAGACCUGAGGGCCUGGGUCAGGGGCCGGGAAGCCCAGAAAACAAACUUCCAGAAUCACUAAGGGCUUUCUCUCUCAAAAUUACAGUGGGAGGGUUCUUUUGAAAUUCAAAUCCAACCUAUUUGUUGCUUAAGCACACACAAAAUACUGAGACCUGGGGUCCAAGAGGCAAUACUUCCGCUGCAAGUGCAUGUUGCAACUUCGCGUGAUGUUCCCAGGGCGGUUCUGCGGCAACUUGCGGCUCCGCGACUGUGGGCGCGGGCCCCAUUUCGGGCCCCGUCGGCCGGGACCGCGCCCAGGGCUUCUCAAGUGACUCGCUUCCCAGCACGCAAGAGGCAUUCUCGUCUCUUUCUCUUCGAAUGCACCCGAGACUUCUCCAUGAAGCAAGGAGAAGAUGAGCAGGCGCUGGUUUCCCUUUUCUUUUUUGCUCCCAUUUCCCAGUCUUGAUUUUUUUUUUCCCUUUCUCUCUCUCUCCCGAAUCAUGCAGACCUGGAACUCCUAAGAUUCGGGUCCUCCUGCAGUUCCCAAAGCUUUGGAUCCAUCCGAGGUGUGGGUAGAUGCGGGUUAGUCUCAGGGUCUUUCUAGGAUGAGCCCCAAGCCCAAGUUCUAAGGCGAGGGGGAGGCGAAGAGGUCAGGGCUACAAACGCCAGGGACUGUCCCCGGAGAGGUCAUUUUUCCAUUUUCCAUGCACAUCGAUUUCACUCUAGCGCCAGAUGGACACUCGACGGUCAACGUUAGAGAUUUUUCCGGAGUCGGGGGCAGGAAGCGGGACGAAUUGAGACGAGGGUACAUCCUUUGCUUCCAAGGGUGGCCGAGCCAGACCGAAGGCCUGGGCGGGAGGUCACGUCCUCCCCUGGCCACCCACAGCGCUCCCCAGCCGCAGGCCUGGGCCUAGAAGCCGCGCCCUCCCGGCCGUGCAGCCGGUCAGCCUGUGCGCCCGGCGCCCGCAGUGCGGCUCCGGGCCUCUCUCUGAUCCACUUCAGUACCUGCGGCCUCGAGGACCCCACCGUGCAUCCCGGAAAGCCUCAGAACUUGCAAGAAAGAGGGGCUGGCAGGUGCAGCCUGGGAAGAGGACCCCGCCGCGAAAGCGCUUGGGGGUUGGGUUUUAUUUGCUGGAGUGGGGGGUCCGUCUCAGUGCAUCCUCCUGGAUUCCCCAUUAGGACGCCCCGCCCAUACAUCCAGCCUCCUCUCCCGGAUACCCCCAGUGACCCGGCCAGGGAGCGGGCAUCUUCCCCCAGGACCCAGAGACGUGUCCUCGCCAUCCCCAAACACCGUCCUUCCCCACCCCCGCAACCCUCUCCACAGAAGCCAAAACCACAACAAAAAUCUUCAACCCACAAAGAAAAAGACACAUUCCUCCUUCGGCCUUAGUCAGCGUUAGUUCCAGAUCCGAAGCCGGAGGGGACGGAGCCGCUCGAAGUCGGUUGGAAGGAAGGCGCAGAAGGCUCUUUCUGUCUCCAUGAAUCUCCUUGCAAAUGCAACCGCUGCUGCCAUUAGGACGCGGUCUCUGUUUGCAAAAAAAACUCAAUUCCUUCCAUUUCCUCAUCUGUUGGGUCCAUCAGCGUGCAGUGAGUGAUGCAAGGUCCCUUUGGGUCAACAGGCCGUCCCCUGAAAUAACUUUCAGAGCCCUGGCCUCAAGGUCAUGGGCCGGGUGGCCUCUACAGGCCACAGGUCAGGACCAGGAUGUGCCUGACUGAGGCUGUGCCACCGAGAGCUUCGGACGUGCAGAAAGGUGCCCUGAGCUGCACGGGGGGCUUCUGUCAGCCCCCUCCCACUCUACACAGAUUGAUGUGGCAAUAUUUAUUCCCAUUUAAUUGAGACACUGGUUUAAUUUCAGAUUGCUUCGGCUUAAGGCCCAAUGGGGUUUUCUGCAGCUCUUUUCCCCAGUGCCUCUACAGAAAUUAAUUGCUGUUAAUAUCCAAUUUUGGCUUUAUUAUUCGUUAGCCAAUUAUGUAUCCCAUAGCCCAGGCCCCUUGCUGCUCUCAGCCUUUGCUGGAAUCAGCUCACACUAUGCCGGGCUUCUGCUUUUCUGCCUUCCCCUCUAUUCAAACUCUGUCCUCCCAAGAUGAUUUACCGGCCCGUCAGGCAUUUUGCUUGUGUCCCAGCGCUAGCUGAGCUGGCGGAGGUGUCUUUAAGACGUUUUCCCCCUUUUGAGGGAAAUGUCUUCUUUGCAGUGGACAUAAUUUCCAUUUAAAAAGGAAUCUAAGCUUCUCCACUCUCGCUUCACUAUCCUAAGAUUUGCUUUCUCUGGAGCCAUUUUUGGAGAGCAGUUUUCCAUCAAAAGCAAGCAAGGUGCCCCGGCAUCAGGGCUCCCCUCCCCACCUCCCUAGGAGCCCCUCCGAGACUGUCUUAAAGCCACCACAUAUACAUAACACCAUAGAUUCAAACAGGGUGCUUGGAGGAUGUCAUUCCACAUUUCAAGGAGGGAAACUUGAAAAAGCACUAUUUUCAGAGAUGAGGAGGGCAGCUCUCCCCUCGUCCCCCACAGAGGCCCUGGAAACCAUUCCAGCCUUGCACUGCGCAACCCUGCUUGAUGGAGCUGAUGCAACUGGGGGCGAGAGCCUUUAAAAAGUGUUCUUUUGCCUUGGUUUUUUGUGCCUUGAGUUCACAGAAGCAAACACUUCCCAUCACUGGUGCUCUGGAAACAGAAACAUACAAGUGAGAAUCCUAACGACAGCAGAGGCCCUUCUUUGUCUGCUUCCUCUCCUUCCCCCCUUGGAAAGAAUGCCUCCCAUGCCUUAAUGUGCCCUCACACUUAUCUCUAGCAGUUCCGUAACAACCUGCGCAGUGUCGGCAUCAGAACCGAAUGCAGAGAAAACAAAACGUCAGAGCCGCUGGCUUGGACUGCGGCCCCUACAGAUGAAGCCCGAGGUGGGAGGUUUUCUUCUCCGCCUGGAAAUCCUAUGGUCAGAUUUGUCGUAGGGGGGAGGUGGGUGGUGACUGUGGUGGAGGGCUGGGACAUUGUUAAGAAGGUGCCUUACGCAGAAGGCUCAAUAAAUACCACCCAAAUUGGAUGUAAUUAAAUUAGCAGCAGCUGUCCUGCUUUUCCUGUUGAAAGCUACAAUUAGGCAUGAAGGCCUCCUGGGCAAAGGCUAGUUAGAGUGGC
rnacentral:lncRNA from 1 species